AUUGAACGCUGGGGGCAGGCCUAACACAUGCAAGUCGAGCGGAUGAAGGGAGCUUGCUCCUGGAUUCAGCGGCGGACGGGUGAGUAAUGCCUAGGAAUCUGCCUGGUAGUGGGGGAUAACGUCCGGAAACGGGCGCUAAUACCGCAUACGUCCUGAGGGAGAAAGUGGGGGAUCUUCGGACCUCACGCUAUCAGAUGAGCCUAGGUCGGAUUAGCUAGUUGGUGGGGUGAAGGCCUACCAAGGCGACGAUCCGUAACUGGUCUGAGAGGAUGAUCAGUCACACUGGAACUGAGACACGGUCCAGACUCCUACGGGAGGCAGCAGUGGGGAAUAUUGGACAAUGGGCGAAAGCCUGAUCCAGCCAUGCCGCGUGUGUGAAGAAGGUCUUCGGAUUGUAAAGCACUUUAAGUUGGGAGGAAGGGCAGUAAGUUAAUACCUUGCUGUUUUGACGUUACCAACAGAAUAAGCACCGGCUAACUUCGUG
rnacentral:rRNA from 1 species